ACCAGGCGGGGCCCGCGGCGGCGACAUGGCCGCCGCCAGCAAGGAGCCCCCGCAGCUGCAGCGGCUGCUGGAGCGGGACCCUUACCUGACGCCCUUCCGGACCGACUUCCAGCGCAGUUUGAAUCUAUUCCCCUUUGUCCUGUCAUUACUCGCUCUUGCAAAUAGUCCAUCUCCACCUUCCCUGGAAGUUCCCUUCAGGAGAGAUACUCCAUCACUCUGAUCAACUUGGUGGCCUCCUCCGGACUUGCUGGAACGGGUCAAUGCCCCUCCUGUGUUGGGGAGGGGAUUGCACCUAGAGCUGGAUGCAGUCAGUACGGGAGGGUAGUGCGCCGAGCCGCUGUUGCUAAUAAAGGUGUUUUUCAGUCUUGCUGUGGAAAUCUGUAAAGAAACUGCUCCUGAAUCUUGUCUUUCUGGAGAAUUUUCCUGCAGGCGUGUGUUUUGAGAUAGCCCCGAACCGCCAGCUCAGCUGUUCAGCAGACCUGCGGCGGGUGAAGUAGCAGAGCAUGCGUUAGGCUGGUGCCAGGUUAUCGGUCUGAGUAUCCCUCUUUUUGUGCCUCUCGAUGGGAACUGUGACACCAACCCUCUGGCCAGGGCCUGGGCGAAAGCCUGCCAGCAGCAGCUCGGGCAGAGGCGGCCUGUGUCCUGCACAGCCAGGCUGCAGGCCUGAAAAAGCUGCUGUAGCCUCACUGGCCGAGUGAACAGAGCGAUUGGGAGCUUUUGUGCCACACGUUUAUGUCUUGUUUCACUAGCAGUCCUCUGAUAGUCAAAAUAAUUGUAAUACUGCCCUGUAGCUCCGAAGUGUGGAAAAGUCUGUGUGUGUGUAAGGGAUGCAAGAAGGAAUUUGAUUCCCUCCCCCCAAAGUCUGUUUGUUUUUGUUUUUUGUUUGUUUUUUUUUCUGUUACUGUAUUCUACAUGGUUUAGCAUUACUAGGUGUCUGUCCUCUGGGGUUCUGGUAUUGAAUAGUGGUAAGGCUAGAUCUUGUUAAAAUGGGAUUAAGGAUUAAGUAAACUAUUAGGCUGACUUGCAGUGUAUGUAGUAAUCUCUUAAUGGCAGAACAACUGAGUGUUUUAAACAAUGGUUCCUGACAAGCUUCUAGUCACGCAUGCAGUGUUGUAAAACACCUAAUUCUUUCAGUGGGGUGCCAGGGUAUAGGAAUUAAUAAGUGGGCAGGUCUGGCUCUUAAUAAAACCAUUCAUUAAAACAUUUGGGCUUCCCAAAUGUGCCUGCCACCUAAGUGAUUGUGGAUAAUGAUAUUUGUGUUUCUGAGGAUAGGGUAGCUGUACUGAACAAAGUGAGUUUGCAAAAUGUUUGUGUACUUCUCAGGUUUGUACCCCUUGAGCAUUGAACUGGUCCUGAUCUGAAGAGCAC